CGCCGCAGAGCGGCGCUGCACAUCUUCUUCCCGACGCGCAGUCGGCUCCCGGCCACCAGCCCGGCCACCUGCAAUCUCCAGCUCUCGGCCGCCAGCCCAAACCCUGCUCAUCAGCUUGCGAUUUCCGCCGUGAAACGCCGCCAGAGCCCCGCUGCGCUAGACACGGCAGUCGAGCAGGCAGAGGUUGCCGGAGCAACUCCAGCCCUCGACGCCAUCGAGCGCAGGCUGGCGUCCAUCUCGCCGUCUGACCAGAUCUGCUUGCGACCUCCGCCUUCACGCCAGUCACCAGCACGCACACGAGAAGGAGGCGCGAUUAAAAUCGCCGCCCAGCACCCUGUCAAGUGAAGCUCCGCCGCCCCGCUGUUGCAGAACCAGGCUACAAUUUCCGGCAGAACCGCUGCCCCUCCACGGCGGUCGAGCAAGCAGGAGUCGUCGGAGCGACUCCAGCCCUAAACGCCGAAGGACAGAAGAUUGUUGUUGCUGUCAC
rnacentral:lncRNA from 1 species